rnacentral:rRNA from 1 species
AGUACGGCGAGUGAAGCGGUAAAAGCUCAAAUUUGAAAUCUGGUACUUUCAGUGCCCGAGUUGUAAUUUGUAGAAUUUGUCUUUGAUUAGGUCCUUGUCUAUGUUCCUUGGAACAGGACGUCAUAGAGGGUGAGAAUCCCGUUUGGCGAGGAUACCUUUUCUCUGUAAGACUUUUUCGAAGAGUCGAGUUGUUUGGGAAUGCAGCUCAAAGUGGGUGGUAAAUUCCAUCUAAAGCUAAAUAUUGGCGAGA